rnacentral:lncRNA from 1 species
UCCACCAUGUGAGGACACAGGAACCAGAAAGUAGACCCUCACCAGGCAUGGAAUCUGCCAGUGCCUUGAUCUUGGACUUCCAGCUUCCAGAACUCUGUGGGCACUGUUGGAGAAGUAUAAUGGAAAACAAAAUCUCCCAACCCAGAAAUCCUCUCUACAAAGGUAGCAAAGAAAGAAAACACUCUCAUUAUUGAGAAAAACAUUAAACCAGAAAGUGUUACACACCACAAGCAAUCUGCUAAGAGACAGCCAAGACAGAAAGGAAGCUCACCUGCUUAUGGAGCCAAGCAGACACAGCUCGUUCCACACACGUUUUCAAGACGGACAGUAACUGUUACCAACUGAGUCAGCUUUUCCCCUAAAGAUGGUAUCGUGAAGCCAAUACAUGAAACCCAAAGCGAGCCUCAAGCAGUGCGGACUUUAUUCAAUGGCCAAAGAAUGGAGAAGCAGGAGCAUGGCCGCAAGUCAACUUCUUGUCUAGUGAGAGCACCUGCCUGACUAAUACAUCAUGCUCUGCUGACUCCAUAUGUGGCUGGUUUCCUGGAUCCGAUUCUGACUGAUGGUAUCUGUUCUCACGCUGCUAAUAAAGACAUACCAGAGACUGGGUAAUUUAUAAA